rnacentral:rRNA from 1 species
UACGGGGGGGGCAAGCGUUGUUCGGAAUUACUGGGCGUAAAGGGCUCGUAGGUGGCCAACUAAGUCAGACGUGAAAUCCCCAGGCUCAACUUGGGAACUGCGUCUGAUACUGGAUGGCUUGAAUUCGGGAGAGGGAUGCAGAAUUCCAGGUGUAGCGGUGAAAUGCGUAGAUAUCUGGAGGAAUACCGGUGGCGAAGGCGGCAUCCUGGACCGAGAUUGACACUGAUGAGCGAAAGCUAGGGGAGCAAACGGGG